AUCCAGCUGACGAGUCCCAAAUAGGACGAAACGGGUGUGCAGGAU
rnacentral:hammerhead_ribozyme from 1 species